rnacentral:lncRNA from 10 species
AGUCUCGCCCAGGUGUGGCAGGAGCUUUUACCUGCUCUUCGGCAGUAGCCGGCUGCCACUCAACCCCAUGCCUGACUGAGCUGUGGUAGAAGGAUUGAGGCCAGCACAGAGGAGGAUCAGCAGGAAAUGUAAGGGUUGUCCUCAUCUAAUCCGUCAGUACCAGACAGUGAACAUCUCUCCCCCAGGAUGCUGAGGGAGGGUCCUGGAGGGAAGGAUGUGGAACUACAGCCUCUGCUCUCAAGAAGCUCAGAUCUGGGCAGGGAACAUCACAUACCAGGGCUGUCUGUCGGGGGGGUGGAGGGCUGGGGGAGGGAUAGCAUUAGGGGAAAUACCUAAUGUAAAUGACAAGUUGAUGGGUGCAGCAAACCAACAUGGCACAUGUAUACCUAUGUAACAAAUCUGCAUGUUGUGCACGUGUACCCUAGAACUUAAAGUAUAAUUAAAAAAAAAAAAAGCUUCA